rnacentral:rRNA from 1 species
GACGAACGCUGGCGGCGUGCUUAACACAUGCAAGUCGAGCGGGUAAGGCCCUUUCGGGGGUACACGAGCGGCGAACGGGUGAGUAACACGUGGGUGACCUGCCCUCAGCUCUGGGAUAAGCCUGGGAAACUGGGUCUAAUACUGGAUAUGACUCCACGGUGCAUGUCGUGGGGUGGAAAGCCUUGUGCGGCUGAGGAUGGGCCCGCGGCCUAGU